rnacentral:rRNA from 1 species
UGGGGAAUAUUGGACAAUGGGCGCAAGCCUGAUCCAGCCAUGCCGCGUGAGUGAUGAAGGCCUUAGGGUUGUAAAGCUCUUUCACCCACGACGAUAAUGACGGUAGUGGGAGAAGAAGCCCCGGCUAACUUCGUGCCAGCAGCCGCGGUAAUACGAAGGGGGCUAGCGUUGCUCGGAAUCACUGGGCGUAAAGGGCGCGUAGGCGGCCGAUCAAGUCAGGGGUGAAAGCCUGUGGCUCAACCACAGAAUUGCCUUUGAUACUGUUUGGCUCGAGACCGGAAGAGGUUGGUGGAACUGCGAGUGUAGAGGUGAAAUUCGUAGAUAUUCGCAAGAACACCAGUGGCGAAGGCGGCCAACUGGUCCGGUUCUGACGCUGAGGCGCGAAAGCGUGGGGAGCAAACAGG